UACGGGGGGAGCAAGCGUUGUUCGGAUUUACUGGGCGUAAAGGGCGCGUAGGCGGCCACCGCAAGUCAGUUGUGAAAUCUCUGGGCUUAACCCAGAACGGUCAGCUGAUACUGCGGGGCUAGAGUGCAGAAGGGGCAACUGGAAUUCUCGGUGUAGCGGUGAAAUGCGUAGAUAUCGAGAGGAACACCUGCGGCGAAGGCGGGUUGCUGGGCUGACACUGACGCUGAUGCGCGAAAGCCAGGGGAGCGAACGGG
rnacentral:rRNA from 1 species